UACGUAGGGGGCAAGCGUUGUCCGGAUUUAUUGGGCGUAAAGAGCGUGUAGGCGGCCAGGUAGGUCCGCUGUGAAAACUCGAGGCUCAACCUCGAGAUGUCGGCGGAAACCAUCUGGCUAGAGUCCGGAAGGGGCGAGUGGAAUUCCUGGUGUAGCGGUGAAAUGCGCAGAUAUCAGGAGGAACACCAAUGGCGAAGGCAGCUCGCUGGAACGGUACUGACGCUGAGGCGCUAAAGCGUGGGGAGCGAACAGG
rnacentral:rRNA from 1 species